AGUCGAGAAUAAUUCCCAAUGGGGGCAACCCUGAUGAUGCAACGCCGCGUGGAGGAUGACGGUCUUCGGAUUGUAAACUCCUGUCAUCCGGGAGUAAGACCUGGCGGUUAACAGCGGACAGGGUUGAUAGUACCGGAAGAGGAAGGGACGGCUAACUUCGUGCCAGCAGCCGCGGUAAUACGAAGGUCCCGAGCGUUGUUCGGAAUCACUGGGCGUAAAGGGAGCGUAGGCGGCGCGGUAAGUCAGAUGUGAAAUCCCGGGGCUCAACCCCGGAACUGCAUCCGAUACUGCCGUGCUAGAGGAUUGGAGAGGUAGCUGGAAUUCUUGGUGUAGCAGUGAAAUGCGUGGAUGUCAAGAGGAACCACUCGUGGCGAAAGCGAGCUACUGGACAACUCCUGACGCUGAGGCUCGAAGGCCAGGGUAGCGAAAGGGAUUAGAUACCCCUGUAGUCCUGGCAGUAAACGGUGCACGCUUGGUGUGAGGGGAAUCGACCCCCCUUGUGCCGGAGCUAACGCGUUAAGCGUGCCGCCUGGGAAGUACGGUCGCAAGACUAAAACUCAAAGAAAUUGACGGGGACCCGCACAAGCGGUGGAGUAUGUGGCUUAAUUCGAUGCAACGCGAAGAACCUUACCAAGGCUUGACAUGGAUUUCUAAGCACGUGAAAGCGUGUGACCCUUCGGGGAACUUCCACAGGUGCUGCAUGGCCGUCGUCAGCUCGUGUCGUGAGAUGUUGGGUUAAGUCCCGCAACGAGCGCAACCCUUGUGACUAGUUGCCAGCACGUCAUGGUGGGAACUCUAGUCAGACUGCCCAGAUCAACUGGGAGGAAGGUGGGGACGACGUCAGGUCAGUAUGGCCCUUACGCCUUGGGCUGCACACCUGUACUACAAUGCCCAGCACAAUGAGAACCGAUACCGCGAGGUGGAGGAAAUCUAUAAAACUGGGCCCAGUUCGGAUUGGAGGCUGGCAACUCGCCUCCAUGAAGUUGGAAUCACUAGUAAUGGCGCAUCAUCUACGGCGCCCGUGAAU
rnacentral:rRNA from 1 species